GAGAGAGAGAGAGACAGAGUGUGAGCAGGGGAGGGGCAGAGAAAUAAGGAGACACAGAAUCUGAAGCAGGCUCCAGGCUCCAAGCUGUCCGCACGAAGCCUGAUGCGGGGCUUAAACUCGUGAACCCUGAGAUCAUGACCUGAGGCAAAAUCUGACACUCAACUGACUGAGCCAUGCAGGCACUCCUCUAAGGGUUUUGUUUUUUUUUUUAAUGUAUGUUCAUUUAUUUGUUCUUCACAUCAACCUAUUUAUUAUCCCACUUUAGAUACAAGGAAAAUGAGGCACAGUCAGGUAACUCAUUAAGGCCAAUGGCUACUAAGUCACAGAGGUAGGAUUCCAACCCAGGCAGUCAGACACCCAGGUCCUUAACUCCAGUCACUGUGUUGUUACUGUCUCACUCAGUCAUUCCUACUUAUUCACAUACCCAAAUACUUUUCUGAAAUCUCUCCUUAGGUACCUCAUAGAAACCUCAAGCUUAAUAUGUUCAAUGGUGGAUUUCUGAUCUCUAACCCUAAACCAGUUCAUUGUUCCAUGUAUCUAUAAGUGAUACUAUUAUAUAUUUAACUGCUUGAGCCAGAAACCAAAAACUAAAUAAGCAAUUAUAGUUAAUAAUAGAAAAUGAGGAACAUGCUGAAAUUUGAUAUUUAUAAUCUAUAAUCAAGUAAAUAAAAUUUAAAGUAUCUUUCUUAAAGGUAAGUGGGUUAUAUGAAUACUUUUAUUCUCCAUAUGAACAAUAUUUUAUUUACUAUUUUUAGGUAUAGUAAACUUUAAGGUUUUACUCCUUAUCUGAGUAAUAAUUGCCAUCAUUGCUGCAAUUUAAAAAAAGGAUAUCUCUAAAGAUAUCUUGAUUUGGCAUCUAUCAAAAGGAUAUAAUACAGUUUUUUUUUUUUUAGUUGCUUCUAUUUGACAGAACCUUUUAAAGCAUGCCACUGUGUUAGCAACGGCCGAUAAAAAUAAACCUAAUCCAAGCAGUUAUGAUCAGAGAAUGUUCCCUGUGAGCAUUUGCUUUGGAGAUGUAUGCUGUUUCCAAGAGCAUAUAUAUCAUUGUUGUUUAAGAUUUCAUGUUCCUUACCAUAAAUUUUAAUUUUUGUAUGUUUUUCAAGUGAAACCCAUUGCCACAUUCAGUGUAAUUAACUAUGAAAGUAAUUGGUUAUCUUUUGUUUAGUAACUUGUGAUUUUAUUUUUGAUGCUGUAUUUUAAAAAUGGAGGUAGACACAGGUUUCAGUGCAAAAGGAUUGAAGAUUAUACUUAAUUUUGCAUUUUCUUCAAAAUAGGAAAUCUUCACAUUUUAGACAAGUGUGUAGAUUUAAUUAUACAUCGCGUUUAGUAAUUUCACCUAUAAACCAGAUGACAGAAGCUUUUACUACAUCUGUGACUAGAAAUCUGAAAUAUGUGUAUAUUUUUAAAAUUGUAAAUGGAUAUAAUAGUCAAAGUAAUUUCUUUUCUUGCUGAAUUAAUAUAGUGCAGAUAAGCUUUUAUCCAAGUCUUUAAAUUUCACUUGAUUUAUAAUCCCCUAAUACUCUGUGCUAGGAACUGAGGUGAACUUUAGGGAUAUGAGGGAAGACAAGACAAUUACUCUUGUCUAGGACUUACAGAAAAUUUCCAAGUACCCAGCUAAUUUUGGUGCAGUGUGGAAAAAACUCUGAUGGGUACAACUUUGUUCUGUGGAGUUUAGGUUUCAGGAAGUUUUACCUUAGUUAUGACUUAAUGAAGAAGCUUGUUCUGUUAUUAAAUACUAUUUAAAUUCUGUUUUCUUUUUUUUUUUUUAAUUUUAGAAACAGUGCGAGUGGAGGAGAAGGGCAGAAGGAGAGAGAGAGAGAGAGAGGGAGAGAGGUAGAGAGAGAGAGAGGGAGAGAGAGAAUGAAUCUUAAGCAUGCUGAGCAUGGAGCCUGAUGUGGGGCUUGAUCCCAUGAGCCUGGGAUCAUGACCUGAGCUGAAAUCAAGAGUCGGAUGCUCAACCACCUGAGCCACCAAGGUGCCCCUAAAUUCUUUUUCUUUAACGAUUAUUCAUAUUCUCAUAGAUUCAGUAGAUAUGAAGAAGUGAUUGCAAAGAAAAAGGAAUGGAUGUCAAAAAACUGACAAAUGAGGUUAACAAAAAAGGAAAAGACUGUCAGAUUAGACCCAACACUAACACAUUACAUCAGGGCUGGACUUCCUAUGCAUCAUUUGCGGGAGGGAUUGCUUGGUCAUGCAUUUGACUUUUCAGUCUUGCCGGCAUGAAUUAACAUUUUGGCAGAGUUUACACUGCAAUUUAAGCAUCAGAGGAAAAACAAUUCUGUCUCACUAUAGUAUUAUGUCUGUGUGUUACCCUUCUUUCAGGAAGAUAGCAACUUGUGAAAUAGGUGUUAUUCAAGUUUAUAGAUGUAGAAGCUGUACAGGUUCUGAGGCUAUUAAAGUCAGAGCUAAUGAGCAAUGCUGCUGGAAUUCGAGAUUUCAGAUUCCAAGUUCUUUUACUACAUCUGGCUAUAAAUGAGCUUGUUGAGGUUUUAUUUAAUUAAACAUAUAAAAUGGCAUUCCUUUUUCUUGCUGGCAGUCAGUUUAGCAGUGGAUUUCUUGCUCCUCCUGUAAACUUGUGAGUUACUGUGAAAUGUCCGUCUUAACCUCUUUUCUUGCAGCCUUGUGACUUUAAGCUACUGCUUCAUACUCCUUGAAGGCAAAGGCUAUCCAAAAUCCAUAGGCUGGGCAUUCAGUAAAGUUACUAGUUGAAUAAACGCACUCUCAGGGUUAGAUAGAUAUUUAAAAGACAAAGAUAAACCAAACUAUAGAGUGGUGGUUGAUAUCUAGAUAUUUUAAGCCUCUAAAUUAAUAAUAUUUUUUGUACAGUACGUCUUAAUUAUUAAGUUCCUUGGUAGCACUUUGAGUCUCUUGAUAAACAUGUCACUUAAUGAAGUAAGGGUUUUAUCUUACUUUGGCUAUCUGAUUUUAUUUUGUACUUUUGAAUGACUACAGUCUAAUCAGACUUUGUGG